AGAUUAUAAUAGCUUUGAAACAAUGAUAAUGAAAGUUUUUUCAUCGUUCUAAAUUUAUGCUACAGUUAUGGUCGUAAAAGAUUAAGAAAAAUCUUAUGGGUGCAAUUAUUCCUCUGACACCUGCGAAAUUACCAAAAGAACUGACCAUCGCUGUUUAUUGUAUUUUUUUAAAUUAUCUAGUUAAACAAUCUAUCACUUAA